CUUCCGUAGGUGAACCUGCGGAAGGAUCAUUACAGAAUGAAAAGUGCUUAACUGCAUUUUUUCUUACACAUGUGUUUUUCUUUUUUUGAAAACUUUGCUUUGGUAGGCCUUCUAUAUGGGGCCUGCCAGAGAUUAAACUCAACCAAAUUUUAUUUAAUGUCAACCGAUUAUUUAAUAGUCAAAACUUUCAACAACGGAUCUCUUGGUUCUCGCAUCGAUGAAGAACGCAGCGAAAUGCGAUAAGUAAUAUGAAUUGCAGAUAUUCGUGAAUCAUCGAAUCUUUGAACGCACAUUGCGCCCUUUGGUAUUCCAAAGGGCAUGCCUGUUUGAGCGUCAUUUCUCCCUCAAACCCUCGGGUUUGGUGUUGAGCGAUACGCUGGGUUUGCUUGAAAGAAAGGCGGAGUAUAAACUAAUGGAUAGGUUUUUUCCACUCAUUGGUACAAACUCCAAAACUUCUUCCAAAUUCGACCUCAAAUCAGGUAGGACUACCCGCUGAACUUAAGCAUAUCAAUAAGCGGAAGGA
rnacentral:rRNA from 1 species